UACGGAGGAUGCAAGCGUUAUUCGGAAUGAUUGGGCGUAAAGCGUCCGUAGGUGGCCAUGUAAGUCUGCUGUCAAAGCGUCUGGCUCAACCAGAUAAAGGCAGUGGAAACUACAUAGCUAGAGUAAGGUAGGGGUAGAGGGAAUUCCUGGUGUAGCGGUGAAAUGCGUAGAGAUCAGGAAGAACACCGGUGGCGAAAGCGCUCUGCUGGACCUUAACUGACACUGAGGGACGAAAGCUAGGGGAGCGAAUGGG
rnacentral:rRNA from 1 species